UACGGAGGGUGCGAGCGUUGUUCGGAAUCACUGGGCGUAAAGGGCGUGUAGGCGGUCCGCUAAGUCUGAUGUGAAAGCCCGGGGCUCACCCCCGGAAGUGCAUUGGAAACUGGCGGACUCGAGUCCCGGAGAGGAGGGUGGAAUUCCUGGUGUAGCGGUGAAAUGCGUAGAUAUCAAGUGGAACACCAGUGGCGAAGGCGAGUCCCUGGACAACUCCUGACACUGAGGCACGAAAGCUAGGGGAGCAAACAGG
rnacentral:rRNA from 1 species